rnacentral:sRNA from 1 species
AUUCGGGGGGAGAUUGUUGAUUCUGAAAAUCACACAAUAAAUUUGUUUAAAGGGGGUAAACAAAUUUACUUAACUCUCUCUCGCUAUUUAGUGACCAAAGAUUCAAUGAAAAAAAGAACAAGGUUGCUUAGAGACAAAGUUAGGGUUUUGCCCAAGAACAAUGAAGAAAACUAGGGUUUUUAGUAUUAAAUUUCGGAUCCCCCAAAUAGAGGACAAACCCCUCUAUUUACACACUAUUAAGACGGUUAAAAGAUUUGUUAAACUUCUAUUUCUUCGAGGAUUGAAUCUUCUAAUUUCCUUUAUCUCCAAAGACUUCCUAUUUUCAAAGGAGAAAACUUCUUUUUCUUCGAAUUAGGAAGUCGGCUAGACGGUCUCCCUACUUGGGGCUAAAGUCGGCAAAUGACCUCCUUAUUUUGGCCCAUUAACAAGCUAAACCGGGAUACCCCGGUUUGAUUGAAAUCUCAGUCUAAUUCGUAGUUCCUCUGGUUUAAGCCGGUAUUGUCGGAGGUGCUAAUUCCGGCACCAACAAUUAGUCCCCCCCAGUUCGGGAAAAUCCAAAUGCUAAACUCGAUUUUUUCCGAAUUAAAAGAAGUGAAUAUUCGGCUUAUACGUUAGGAAGAUGCGAAUUAAAAUUUGAUCCCUUGAACCUCCAAGAUACGUCAGUUUAGCUUGGCACGCGUCGACGAUAUAAAACAAGGCUAAGCUUGUGAGUUAGGUAGUCUGAUGGACCUCAUGAGUUGUUGAGGAGCUGUGGGAUGCUCUCCUAGAUGAUCUGAAUGCCUAGCAGAGAAAUGACCUGACUGAUGAGCCGAGCAGUGAGAUAGGUUACCAAAUGAUCUUGCUAACAAGCUGCAAGGCAAGCUAUCAGAUGAUCUGACGAGCGAUCUAGGAUAUAGGUUGCUAGAUGGUUUGUCUUGCGAUCUGCGAGAUAGCCGGGCAGAUGAGCUAA